AUGAACGCUGGCGGCGUGCCUAAUACAUGCAAGUCGAGCGAACAGACGAGGAGCUUGCUCCUCUGACGUUAGCGGCGGACGGGUGAGUAACACGUGGAUAACCUACCUAUAAGACUGGGAUAACUUCGGGAAACCGGAGCUAAUACCGGAUAAUAUAUUGAACCGCAUGGUUCAAUAGUGAAAGACGGUUUUGCUGUCACUUAUAGAUGGAUCCGCGCCGCAUUAGCUAGUUGGUAAGGUAACGGCUUACCAAGGCAACGAUGCGUAGCCGACCUGAGAGGGUGAUCGGCCACACUGGAACUGAGACACGGUCCAGACUCCUACGGAAGGCAGCAGUAGGGAAUCUUCCGCAAUGGGCGAAAGCUUGACGGAGCAACGCCGCGUGAGUGAUGAAGGUCUUCGGAUCGUAAAACUCUGUUAUUAGGGAAGAACAAAUGUGUAAGUAACUAUGCACGUCUUGACGGUACCUAAUCAGAAAGCCACGGCUAACUACGUG
rnacentral:rRNA from 1 species